AGAAUCAACGCUGGCGGCGUGCCUAACACAUGCAAGUCGAACGAGAAAGUGGAGCAAUCCAUGAGUAAAGUGGCGCACGGGUGAGUAACACGUGACUAACCUACCCUUGAGUGGGGGAUAACCUAGAGAAAUCUGGGCUAAUACCGCAUAAUACCUUCGGGUCAAAGGAGCAAUUCGCUUAAGGAGGGGGUCGCGGCCGAUUAGUUAGUUGGCGGGGUAAUGGCCCACCAAGACUAUGAUCGGUAUCCGGCCCUGAGAGGGCGCACGGACACACUGGAACUGAAACACGGUCCAGACUCCUACGGGAGGCAGCAGUGGGGAAUUUUGCGCAAUGGGGGAAACCCUGACGCAGCAACGCCGCGUGGAGGAUGAAGUCCCUUGGGACGUAAACUCCUUUCGAUCGGGACGAUAAUGACGGUACCGAGAGAAGAAGCCCCGGCUAACGUUCGCGCCAGCAGCCGC
rnacentral:rRNA from 1 species